UACGGAGGCUCCAAGCGUUAUCCGGAAUCAUUGGGUUUAAAGGGUCCGUAGGCGGUUUUGUAAGUCAGUGGUGAAAGCCCAUCGCUCAACGGUGGAACGGCCAUUGAUACUGCAAGACUUGAAUUAUUGGGAAGUAACUAGAAUAUGUAGUGUAGCGGUGAAAUGCUUAGAGAUUACAUGGAAUACCAAUUGCGAAGGCAGGUUACUACCAAUAUAUUGACGCUGAUGGACGAAAGCGUGGGGAGCGAACAGG
rnacentral:rRNA from 1 species